GAUGAACGCUGGCGGCGUGCCUAAUACAUGCAAGUCGAGCGAACGGACGAGAAGCUUGCUUCUCUGAUGUUAGCGGCGGACGGGUGAGUAACACGUGGAUAACCUACCUAUAAGACUGGGAUAACUUCGGGAAACCGGAGCUAAUACCGGAUAAUAUUUUGAACCGCAUGGUUCAAAAGUGAAAGACGGUCUUGCUGUCACUUAUAGAUGGAUCCGCGCUGCAUUAGCUAGUUGGUAAGGUAACGGCUUACCAAGGCAACGAUGCAUAGCCGACCUGAGAGGGUGAUCGGCCACACUGGAACUGAGACACGGUCCAGACUCCUACGGGAGGCAGCAGUAGGGAAUCUUCCGCAAUGGGCGAAAGCCUGACGGAGCAACGCCGCGUGAGUGAUGAAGGUCUUCGGAUCGUAAAACUCUGUUAUUAGGGAAGAACAUAUGUGUAAGUAACUGUGCACAUCUUGACGGUACCUAAUCAGAAAGCCACGGCUAACUACGUGCCAGCAGCCGCGGUAAUACGUAGGUGGCAAGCGUUAUCCGGAAUUAUUGGGCGUAAAGCGCGCGUAGCGGUUUUUUAAGUCUGAUGUGAAAGCCCACGGCUCAACCGUGGAGGGUCAUUGGAAACUGGAAAGCUUGAGUGCAGAAGAGGAAAGUGGAAUUCCAUGUGUAGCGGUGAAAUGCGCAGAGAUAUGGAGGAACACCAGUGGCGAAGGCGACUUUCUGGUCUGUAACUGACGCUGAUGUGCGAAAGCGUGGGGAUCAAACAGGAUUAGAUACCCUGGUAGUCCACGCCGUAAACGAUGAGUGCUAAGUGUUAGGGGGUUUCCGCCCCUUAGUGCUGCAGCUAACGCAUUAAGCACUCCGCCUGGGGAGUACGACCGCAAGGUUGAAACUCAAAGGAAUUGACGGGGACCCGCACAAGCGGUGGAGCAUGUGGUUUAAUUCGAAGCAACGCGAAGAACCUUACCAAAUCUGGACAUCCUUUGACAACUCUAGAGAUAGAGCCUUCCCCUUCGGGGGACAAAGUGACAGGUGGUGCAUGGUUGUCGUCAGCUCGUGUCGUGAGAUGUUGGGUUAAGUCCCGCAACGAGCGCAACCCUUAAGCUUAGUUGCCAUCAUUAAGUUGGGCACUCUAAGUUGACUGCCGGUGACAAACCGGAGGAAGGUGGGGAUGACGUCAAAUCAUCAUGCCCCUUAUGAUAUGGGCUACACACGUGCUACAAUGGACAAUACAAAGGGCAGCGAAACCGCGAGGUCAAGCAAAUCCCAUAAAGUUGUUCUCAGUUCGGAUUGUAGUCUGCAACUCGACUACAUGAAGCUGGAAUCGCUAGUAAUCGUAGAUCAGCAUGCUACGGUGAAUACGUUCCCGGGUCU
rnacentral:rRNA from 1 species